rnacentral:lncRNA from 1 species
CUGGAAAAGAUAGAGUUAAUAGAAUGUGGAGUUAAGGCAGAAAACAUCUGUGCUUUAAAGACAGAAUAUUUGAUUCUGCAUUUUUUGGCUUCUUGCUCAGUAAUUUUUAACUGUAGGUCUUUAGUUCAGCAAUCAGGUCUUUAUGCUUUCUUCGCUCUCACAUGUUUUCUGUGUGCUCACGUCUGUUCUACGUGCUGCUGCUAUGACAGUCUUCCUAAAAAACAAUCUUCUUAUGGUACUUCCCUCCUCAGAAAUCUCCAGAACCUACCAGCUAAAGUUCAAAUUCCUCACCUUGGUCCUGAAAGCCCACCUCAUCUGGUCCUAACUUACUGUCCAGUCUUUUCCUACACCAGCACUCUGCUCCACCCAAAUAUACUUAUCCCACUUCAGGAGCCAUCAACUUUCAGGUUGCUGGCAUUGGGCAGAAUCAAGAAACCUCGGCCAGCCCCGGUUUCCUCCCGAGGUGAAGCAAACAGAUCGGUCUUUGUGUGCAUAAAAUAUUUCUGGAAGAAACUGUUAACAAUUGCUCUGGAAAGGGAAACUGAGUGAUUACAGCCAGGGAUGAGACAGAAAUUUACUUUUCACAUACAGCUCUUUGUAGCUUUUGAUUCUGUCCAGUGUAUCUGUUAUAGAUAAUAC